UACGGGGGGGGGCAAGCGUUGUUCGGAAUUACUGGGCGUAAAGGGCUCGUAGGCGGCCAACUAAGUCAGACGUGAAAUCCCUCGGCUUAACCGGGGGAACUGCGUCUGAUACUGGAUGGCUUGAGUUCGGGAGAGGGAUGCGGAAUUCCAGGUGUAGCGGUGAAAUGCGUAGAUAUCUGGAGGAACACCGGUGGCGAAGGCGGCAUCCUGGACCGACACUGACGCUGAGGAGCGAAAGCGUGGGGAGCAAACAGG
rnacentral:rRNA from 1 species